UACGGGGGGGGCAAGCGUUGUUCGGAAUCACUGGGCGUAAAGGGCGCGUAGGCGGGGAGGUAAGUCGGGUGUGAAAUCCCUCGGCCCAACCGAGGAACUGCGCCCGAGACUGCUUCUCUUGAGUCCCGGAGAGGAAGGUGGAAUUCCCGGUGUAGCGGUGAAAUGUGUAGAGAUCGGGAGGAACACCGGUGGCGAAGGCGGCCUUCUGGACGGUGACUGACGCUGAGGCGCGAAAGCGUGGGGAGCAAACGGG
rnacentral:rRNA from 1 species